UUUCAUAACUUGAUGAAUGCGUGAUAGGAAAGUAGAGUGGUGCAAUAAACGGAGAAAAUUUGGGAAACGCGACAGCAUAAUUUGUGGUAGUGGGGGACUGUGUUCACGCUCACCCCUU
rnacentral:snRNA from 1 species